rnacentral:rRNA from 1 species
AUGAACCCAAAAAUAGCAGACUUCGGGUUGGCAAGGCUGUUAGGAGGAGGACAUACUCAGACCAAGACAGCUAAUGUUGCUGGAGCAUACGGUUAUAUGGCACCAGAGUAUGCAAUAUUUGGAAAUGUGUCUCCCAAGAUUGAUAUUUUCAGCUUCGGUGUUUUAAUCCUCGAGAUUGUAACUAGGAGAAAGAACAGUUCGGAUGAUUUCAAUAACACAGUGAAUCUCCUAAGCGAUGUAUAUAACUGCUGGAUUAAGGAUAUGACAUUGCAAAUAGUUGACAAAUCGCUCAAUGUAUACUCCAAAAGUGAAGUAUUGCGCUGCAUCCACAUCGGUCUUCUUUGCAUCCAAGAGGAUCCAGAUGACAGACCGAGCAUAUCCUCAGUUGUUCUCAUGCUAACCCGAGACAGGGUAAAACUACAGCCACCACGACAACCAGCAUUUUUCUUUGCGAGAGACUCCAGUUCAGUUUUCGAACAUACCAGACAUGGCAAUUAUAUAUACGACAAAUCUGAUGUGAUCGUGGAGGAUAAUUUCUCAGUGAAUGAGGUCACUAAUACUGAUCCCUAUCCUAGAUAA